UCUGGGGUGUCACAAAGGCCUCUGGGCACACCCAUGUCCCGCAUCACAAAGGGCCCUGGAAGGUGCCCCCAUGUCACAAAGGGCCACACCCGGACUCCUACGGACAGCGGGACUGGACCUGGCCCGGGGUAUCCUGUGGAGCAAAUUGUGCAGCAUCUCCGACAGAAUGAGAUGAACAGACAUGGAGACUCAUGGACCUUCCCUGAUGUUGGUUGAGGCAUUUGAAUAGAAAUCACAGUGCUGAUGGCACUUACAAGUUGGCCAACCCAAAAGUGAAUACAACCCAAGUGCAAGGAAGGCUGGA